CCGCCCGUCACCCUCUUCAAAAUCUCAUUUAAUAGUAUUUAACUACUUCUCACUACAAGAAGAGGUAAGUCGUAACAUGGUAAGUAUACCGGAAGGUGUGCUUGGAAACAAAUUGUAGCUUAACUAAAGCAUUUCGCUUACACCGAAAACAUGUCUGUUAAACUCGGACCACUUUGAGCCAAAAACCUAACCCAAAAAUCUUACAUUCAUCCAACCUUUUAACUAGCUUAUUAAAACAUUUUAUAGUUUUAGUAAAGGCGAUUGAAAUAUCUUUCGGAGUUAUAUUUCUAGUACCGCAAGGGAACAGUGAAAUAAAAAUGAAAUAAUUAUCAAGCACCUAAUAGUAGAGACCUCCCCUCGUACCUUUUGCAUCAUGAUUUAACUAGUUAAUUCAAGCAAAAAGCACUAAAGUUUGCCCCCCCGAAACUAAGCGAGCUACUUCAGGGCAGUUCAAGAACUAACCCGUCUCUGUAGCAAAAGAGUGGGGAGACCUUCAAGUAGAGGUGACAGACCUAACGAUGCUUAGUGAUAGCUGGUUGCUUAAGAAGGAUCUUAGUCCACCACCCAUUUUAUAAAAUACACCUAAAUAAAAAUUAAUACUUGGAGUAAUUCAAAUAAGGUACAGCCUAUUUGAAUCAGGAUACAACCUUUACAAAUGGGUAAUUAAACUUCACAUAAUAAAGUAGGCCUAAAAGCAGCCACCUUCAAAAAGCGUCAAAGCUUAUUUUCAAAUCUACUUAAUCCCCCUAAUUUUUAAAAACCCUUAAUCUUUAUUAAGUAACUCUAUAAGAUUAUAGAACCUAUUAUGUUAAAACUAGUAACAAGAAUCAGAACUUCUCUUUAAUGCAAGUGUAAAUCAGACUGGACAAACCACUGAUUUUUAACACUUUGAAGCCAAAGUAAUAACCUUUCAAGAAAAUCUUACUUCACCCAGUGUUAACCUGACACAAGAACAUUCUCAGACAGAUUAAAAGGAAGAGAAGGAACUCGGCAAAUAUUAACCUCGCCUGUUUACCAAAAACAUCGCCUCUUGACAUAUAUAGAGAGGUCUAGCCUGCGCAGGUGACCCUGUCAACGGCC
rnacentral:rRNA from 1 species